rnacentral:lncRNA from 1 species
AUUGUGACCAGGCCAUCUCCUUACAUGUCUUGCUGCACCAGCAUGAGCAGUGAUCCCUUCUGUUCAAAAUUUUCAGGCAACAUCGCAAUGAGGCAAAACAUUGUGCCGAAUCUGCCGUACAAAGAGUGUUCAAAGCUUCACGCUACUAACGGACGAAUACAUAAGCAUUCAUUUACCUUGAAAGAAUAAAGGAAUUCUAUAGCUUCAUACAAAUUCGCCUAUCAGCAACUCUCCCUGGUCGUUCAAAAGUUGCUUGAAGAUUCUACCAUCUCCAUACUAUGAAGGAGCGCUUCUUCAUUUCUUCAUUUUAUCUGAACCUUAACGUAUCCUUCCAACACAAUGUCCAUGGACAACGGUAAUGAGGUCGGCGCCUACGAGUUUGACCGGAACGCCCUGGACAACAUCGCCCGUCGGCGACAAGAUCGCCCACGCAAGAAAUACAGCCAGCAUCGUCCAGUGGAUGAGUUUGGAGUACAUAAGCUUGCCAGGGCAAACAAUCUAAGUCAAUUUACCGCGUGCCAAUUGGAGGAUGCCUUGUCCAAGGAAAGGUGCCAUAUGGACGACCUUGUGUUAGUUUAGUUGUUGCAUGUAAGCUUGUGAGUUGGUGGCCUGGUUCAUGCUUAUGGGCGACAAUUGAAAUGCCGGGACAAUGACUUAUUAUACUGGAUUCACAUGGUACGUUACGUUGCGAAGGGUGUCCCAAAUUCACUGAUGAAUUGACUACUGUUGUAUCCACUUCCACUGUUUAGGUGGUAGUGAAAACUACCGAUUAGUGAAUGAAGGGAGGCUAAGUGCCUCAGCGGUAAUGACGACUUGUACAGCAAUCUGUACGAUCCAAGAAUAUAGUCGUCACCGCGAAUUAUCACCAAUCGGUGCAAUCGUAACCCAAGUGGGUCUACCAGUGACAAGUGUCACGAUUAUAGCAAGUGUAACGACGCAAAUGCCAAUCUGAGCAUCCCGGGUUACGCCUUUGCUGUGUUACAAUGGUAUCGAGACGGGACUGCACGACUUCCGUAACAAACUUCGGGUCGGCGGUUCGAUUCUGGCAACCAGCAAGUCGCAAAUUGGCGAUUUCAUGGUGUAAUGGAUAAACCAGCGCACUGGCGCGAGGUGGGAUGGCUCCUGUGCUCGAAAUAAUGGCCGAGGACGUCCAUUGCUAAGUGGGGGGCAAUGUAACGACGCAAAUGCCAAUCUGAGCAUCCCGGGUUACGCCUUUGCUGUGUUACAGCAAGAGUGCUAUAACCCAGUAUCACACGUGAUAAAAGAUAGGCAAGUGCCCAAUGGUUAACCAAGUAAGAGCGAAGAUAAUGCCAAGUGGUGAAGUGCCAGAGUAUCGGGGAAAAUCCGAAGUUAAAUAAGCAAGUAUGCCACAACAACUAUCCCCCCUCUGGACGCAGCAUCCUCGCAGCAUUAGUGGCACGAGCCUUGACUGCUUGAAGUUCGGAGCGGAGGUCGGGCGUAAGGUUCUUCUCUGGCUCCCAGCUAUUAUGUUGGUUGGGGGUUGGAGUGGAACAGGAAGCAGCCAUGUAAAACACUCGUACGAUAGCACGAUAUGACAUAUGCGGGUCUUUUUCACUUGGUGGUGUUUAGCGCUAAGAGGAUAUGUGUGUGUGCGUGCGCCCACAUGACGCUCCUUAGGUUCUCUAGGUGGUCUCCCCUUACGGCGUCUUCCUAGGCGGCGGGCACGAUAAUCAAGAGUAAAGUGGAUCGCUCUUUAGCCACUGAACUGGCGGCGGUCCUGCAGGACUAAAAGGUGCAGAAGAACUGUCGCGANNNNNNNNNNNNNNNNNNNNNNNNNNNNNNNNNNNNNNNNNNNNNNNNNNCUUCAUUUUAUCUGAACCUUAACGUAUCCUUCCAACACAAUGUCCAUGGACAACGGUAAUGAGGUCGGCGCCUACGAGUUUGACCGGAACGCCCUGGACAACAUCGCCCGUCGGCGACAAGAUCGCCCACGCAAGAAAUACAGCCAGCAUCGUCCAGUGGAUGAGUUUGGAGUACAUAAGCUUGCCAGGGCAAACAAUCUAAGUCAAUUUACCGCGUGCCAAUUGGAGGAUGCCUUGUCCAAGGAAAGGUGCCAUAUGGACGACCUUGUGUUAGUUUAGUUGUUGCAUGUAAGCUUGUGAGUUGGUGGCCUGGUUCAUGCUUAUGGGCGACAAUUGAAAUGCCGGGACAAUGACUUAUUAUACUGGAUUCACAUGCUACGUUACGUUGCGAAGGGUGUCCCAAAUUCACUGAUGAAUUGACUACUGUUGUAUCCACUUCCACUGUUUAGGUGGUAGUGAAAACUACCGAUUAGUGAAUGAAGGGAGGCUAAGUGCCUCAGCGGUAAUGACGACUUGUACAGCAAUCUGUACGAUCCAAGAAUAUAGUCGUCACCGCGAAUUAUCACCAAUCGGUGCAAUCGUAACCCAAGUGGGUCUACCAGUGACAAGUGUCACGAUUAUAGCAAGUGUAACGACGCAAAUGCCAAUCUGAGCAUCCCGGGUUACGCCUUUGCUGUGUUACAAUGGUAUCGAGACGGGACUGCACGACUUCCGUAACAAACUUCGGGUCGGCGGUUCGAUUCUGGCAACCAGCAAGUCGCAAAUUGGCGAUUUCAUGGUGUAAUNNNNNNNNNNNNNNNNNNNNNNNNNNNNNNNNNNNNNNNNNNNNNNNNNNNNNNNNNNNNNNNNNNNNNNNNNNNNNNNNNNNNNNNNNNNNNNNNNNNNNNNNNNNNNNNNNNNNNNNNNNNNNNNNNNNNNNNNNNNNNNNNNNNNNGGGUGGAACCCGUAACUAAAGAAGAAAGGAGAUUGUCCCGUAGAGCGAUUGACAGCGUUAUUCAUCGCGAAUUCUGCAGCCGAAAGAUAGGUAUCCCAAACGCGCGGGUUGUUGCCAGCGUAGGUUCGCAGCAUAUCACCCUAAAGUGCGAUUCAUCCGCUCAGUCUGACCGUCAGUUUGUGGGUGGUAAGCAGUAGAAAGGCUGACUCGGAAAUUCGCCAAAGUGCCAAGGGCUCCCCAAAACUUGGCACCAAACUGAGGUCCUCUAUCAGAGAUAAUCGAUUUGGGAACACCAUGUAAACGCACCACGUUAUCAAAGAACAGUCGAGCGGUUUGCUCCGAGGUGACUGCUGUGGUGGUCGGUACCAAAUGUACCAUCUUGGUCAAGCGGUCAACAAUGACGAGGACAGCAUCGUAUCCCCCCUCAGAAAGAGGAAGUCCAACGACGUAGCUGGAACCUUGACGACUGCAUGCUACAAUCCAGGUACGGCAUGCAGUGGGCCGGUGACACUCAAGAAAUCCUGCAUACACUUCCUUAAUCUUAGAUGCCAUAGUGCUUUCAUUUUGUUGUAAAUACAGAUUUAUACCGAUUAGUACUGCGCUUGACAUUGAGCAUCUAACAACGACUCACUGCCAACACAAAGCGUUGACUACAGGUGUUUAUGCCAUUAGACCUCAUUUAAGUGAGCGGGGACAGGAGCUUGCCACAAAGCUGAAGAUUGAGAACAAGCUUCUUCUCUGUGAGGGCGCCCUUAGGGCACCCUGUCCAGUCUGCUAAGCUCUCUCACUGACGAUGGAGACAAUGAAAUCUUCCAAUGUGAUUGGGAGGCACAGGAGCAGACCAACCUUUUCAAGCUGCUCGGGCUGGGUGAGUCACGGGACUGUGUUGACCAGGUCCACAUUGGCGGCGGCCACACCAUGACUCUGCACUCAUCGUCACAGAACUUUGUUACCUGGUUCUAUGUUAUUCUGACAUCUACGCUAGCUAUUCACCGGCAUCAAGGGUUGCAGUCCGAUGCUGCUGCACAAGCAUGAUAACUAAUGUAAUGUUUUAUUGUACUUUGCCCCUCUAUUUGUUUUCAAUGCAGAUGUAUUUUAGCUAUGAGUGUCGAGGAGGCAGAGCAGUGUCUUGAAGCUGUUUCAAGCAGCAGCCGGAUCCCAUGACCAAUGGAUGUCAAGCGCUGGACCAGAUCACCUAGCAGCAGAUCAGAAAGUGAGUUCCUGUCAAAGUUUGUGUUGGUUUCAUGUCAGGGUUACAAAUAGGUUGGUUGGGUGCUCACCAAGAAUUGCAUGGUUUUGCGACAUCGUGUUAAUUAUGUGCUUCAGUAUAGCAACCUGUCCAUUUUUACUCCACUAAGCCUAUAUGUCUAUAACUAACUGACUGACACAUGUCCCGCUGCUGUUGCAGUCAACCACCUUGGACAUGGUGAAGCAGUGGGCCACAGAUGUGGGCGGUGGAGAUUGCAACAGCCAUGAUGACAGCAAAGGCCGCCUCAAAGCGCAGCAGUUCUGCGCCUGAUGUCGUCUUGACCUAAGCGGAUCUCCCCUUCAUGGAAACAAAGGCGAAGGGGAAGGGGGGCAAGAAACGACGGUGGUAAUGGAUGCACGUUUAUUUUGGGACGAAUGCACAUGUAAUGUGAUGAACAGCUGCAUUGUCUUCUUUUGUGGAGGUGCCUUUUCUUAGGGCUGAAAGCACGUUCGUAUCACAUGAUCAUGAUCAGCCGUGUCUUGAGACGGCUUGGCUUAUAAGCAAAUCCAUCUCAAGACACGGCUGAUCACGUGAUAAGNNNNNNNNNNNNNNNNNNNNNNNNNNNNNNNNNNNNNNNNNNNNNNNNNNAGAGUGAGAGACACUGAGGCACUAUAUUUCGCCCACUCAGGAUGAUUGGGACGAACACCUGCCACUCAUUGAGUUCGCUAUUAAUAACUCGAGGCAGAGCUCAACGGGUGCCACCCCGUUUAGCCUUAAUGGUAUCAAGCAGCCACAUGUGCUGGUUGACUUGCACCUGAAAACCAAAGUGCCUGCCGCUGACCUCUAUCCCAAGGUCAUGCACAAACGUAUUGGACCGCAAAACUUAAGGCUGUGCAAUCCCGCCAGUGCAAUGUUGUCGACAAGCACCGGCAUGUGGUGCGUUUUGAGGUUGGGGAAUCCGUGCUGCUCAGCACCCGCAACAUCCAGUUGAAAUCUCCUGGAGCAAAGAAAUUAUUGCCUAAGUUUAUUGGGCCAUAUAAGGUUGUCGCUCGAGUGGGAGAGAAUGCGGUAAUAUUGUGAUUACCCGCGACUUCCCGACUCCAUCCAGUCUUCCACGUAUCCUUGCUCAAACCAUUCAAGGACGAUGGAACACGACAACCGCCGCCCCCGUUCAUAAUUGAUGAAGAGCCAUAUUACAUGGUCGAGGCACUACUUGACCACCGUGAUGUGAAAAUCCGAGGUGGAACCGGCAAAACACGUCGAGAAUAUCUGGUUAAAUGGGAAGGCUAUGACUCCAGUCAUAACACCUAUGAGCCGGAAGAUUCCCUGCAUCAGUCCGUUCCCCUGGCCAAAGCUAUUGACGACUAUGAACGACGGUUGGCAGCAAAGUCGGGGCAACCUACACCAAAAAGAAAAGUGGUCCUGACCACCUCUCCUUUGGUAGCACCCCGGAACACUACCCCAGAACAACCGAAACGGAAAGCACCUGCUCUCAAGAAAAGGUGACACUCCUGGAACGGUUCACUUCUGAGGGGGAGGGAUGUAGCAAGCUACAUUUACCUUAGAAAGCUAUUAAUGCUUAAUCACAGUAACGGUACGGUCCCGUAGUUAUGAACCAUACUCGUUAACUGUAUGAACUCACUUUCUGUUGCGCUAUCACAACCUAGUGUACGACACCAAGACUCCAGGAAUGGAGAUGGCAGCAGGUGGGCCGCAUUUAACCACCCAGGUGAAGUGCUUCGGCCAGACACUUCUGUAUCACUAUACUAGUGUUCAGGGUUCAAGACCUUGCUGACUUCCUGUGUCUUUUCUCAUGUCUAACGCUGAGCCGUCAAUCGUGGUCGAGACCCUCCUCUUCCACGGCCUUACAUCUCAAGUCUUCCGCUAAAAUGCCUAAGGUAAGAGAUGGCUGUUACAGGCAAUCCUACAGGUCGGGACCACCCUGGGCGCUUCAUGCUGGGGCCCCGCCCAAAAAGGGGGUGCUGAAAAACUGGCUGUAAAGGAGGUCCAGAUCCAUAUCAUGUGCCUGUUGGAGGAGCAUAAGGAGACCCAGUUCCAGACAGUUGUCACCAGGAUGGCAAAGGAGCUCAAGGAUGCACAGACCGUCAUUCGGAGCCAAGAAGCCAGCAUCAGCAUGCUCACGUGGGUUCUCUCUUGGCACAUGCAUGUUGCUGCAGCCAGAUGGGCGGUGUUACCCACACCAUGUGCAGGGUUCUUUAGAUUCCACCCAUGCACCACUGCUGGUUUGUGAUCCCAUGUAAGGAGCACUCAUUGGGUGGCGACACUGAUGCGGUUCACGAGGCGAUUCAGAGCUUCUACGAGGUGCAGAACGCCAAGGCCAGGGCACAGGGAAUGGAUGAUGCCUAUUUGGGCCCUGGAGCUCUCAUCCACAGCAUUCCCAGGCAGCUAUUGGAAUGAUGACCAGGAUAUUCAUCUUGCAGAUACCUUAGUCGAGCGAUGAGCUCGUCCUUUGACUUUAGCUCCUCUUCCUUUGGCUUGAGCGUUUGCAUCAUUAUGAUUUCGUGCGCCACCAACGCAUUGGGACCUCCGGCGAUGAUCCUUUUACGCAAUUCAUCCUCGUUAAGUUGUUUAUCCGUUGCGGGGCAAUGUAUUCUUUAAAAUAAUUUAAUCUUUUUAUACUAAUAAAAAAACAAUGCAUGUGAUAUUCCUGUGAUUCGCGGAGUACUGCAAAAAUACGAAAAACUUACAUGUGUAGUCAGAACGUUUGUGAUUCUGAUUUCCGCGAAUCUAAUACAAGAAUUAUUCAAGGAUCAUGCGUGAUAUAUAUAACGCGUUUGUCUUAGGAUUUUUUGUCGCCCACCAAUAUAACCCGUUUUCGACUCCGUCCGCUAGCUCAUACAAUACCUGAAAAUGUUAUUAAAAUCCAUUUCUUAUAGAGCUGUAUCAUAUGAUAGGUAUGUCUAUAUGAAAAGGAUAUCGUCGACAACUUAACCGUCACACAACGACAAAAUGAACAAGACGACACAAUGGUGUCGCCAUCGUCGUCAUUUUCAUCUUCAGAAUUCAAGGUUAUACUAUUGAACAAGAAUUCAGCAAGAAUGGAUAAACUCAACGAGGCUGUAAAGUCUAUGGGUUUGGCAAAGUGGGCAGCAGUGUAAAGCGAACCAAUGCCCACUAGACAUUCGGCACGAAGAAAUCUACGUGCAGGAUCGUGCAGCAUGCAGCUCUCGUGAUGCACAGCUCAUAUGUAUCCGUAUCCGUAUGAUUCUCGCGGUAUCAAAAAGCGACUGUAUUAUGAAGAGUAGAGCCAGCGGGCCAGCUGGCCGUGCACUGCACUAGAGACCAAUCAUGUCACCUGCUUGAUCAGGUUGAGCUUCUUUGCCGUGCUAAACGGCUGCCUCAACCUCAUCCUCACCCUCCUCCUCCUCCUCCUCCUCCUCCUCCUCCUCAUCAUCAUCAUCAUCAUCCCCAUCAUCCGUGUUCGGCUCCUCCUCCUCCUCCUCCUCCUCCUUCUCCUUCUCCUUCUCCUUCUUCUCCUUUUUCUCCUUCUCCGUCUUCUCGUUCUCCUUAAGGAGAAGGAGAAGCUUACGGAGAAGCUUCUCCUCCUCCUUCUUCUCCUUCCUCUCCUUCUUCUCCUUCUUCUUCUUCUCCUUCUCCUUCUCCCACAGCUCCUUGGCGGUUCCGUAGAUAGAAAUACUAUGCUGUUUCUGUUUUAUGAACUUGUAGAAUAGCUUGUUGCCGACUUUAAUAUCGUAGUUGUGAUCCCAUGACAGAAAGAAACUGCCUUGACAUUCUCUCACUUCAUGCUGUGCAUCUCUCAGAACCUUAACACCCUCAGGAACAGCAACAGCUUGAACCCCAUUCGCAAAGAAAAGGCGUGCAAAGCCUACAGCCUCUAUCUCAAACUUGAUGUACACGCCCUCGGCAACGUAGAGUUUGUUCUCCAACUCAUCAGGAGGGCCUGUUCUCAGAUAGCUGAUGGACCCAGCGAACAUGUUACUGGUAUCCUGCACAAUACAUAAUUAAACGUCAUUAUUUCGAGCGCUUCUCCUGUUAACAACGUCUGCCUUCGACCAUACCUUUUAAAGGUGACAAACCCUUAUGUAGAUUUGGUUCGGAAUUCCGAAAGGAUAGUUGUAUGUAUGUUGUUACAGGGUGGUCAACUUCGCCAGCGGCCCCCUUUCCCGGGGCAGUCCCUGCUCUCCCCUGCUAGAGGGGCACCCUAAUCCGUCACCCCAUCCGACUUCAGAAUGUAUUCGUUGGGUUCGGCAACUCACCACCAGCAUCCAACCAAAUCUAGCGGAUCAACGGCGCAUCAACUUAGUUCCUGGUCAGCUCGCAAGUUGAUAUUAUCACGUCCUACACCGUCCAUAAGAUGGGGGGCCACCUCCCAUUUCAUCACUCCUUAAACACCCGAGGAGCCGGCAGGCGGAUUUGAACCCGGGUCGACUGGGUCGACUGGGAGCAGAAGUUGUAUGUAUGGUCAGUGUCCUCAGGACCACAUAAGUAGGCAAAUUUGUAAGAACAUACUGUAUAUGCAAGUAACUAUAGGUUGUCCUUAAGUCCUUUUUGGAGGUGUCAAUGACUCUGCUUGUACAGGCCAGGGUCGCCAGCUGGCAGGUACCUUCCAACACCUUCCAAGCCAUAACAAUCUGGGAACUGGGGGGGUCGAAAUUCCAUAAAAUAAGGCUUUCCUUUUCCAUAAAAUGAGAUCUCCUUUUUCCAUAAAAUGACAUGUUAUUUUCCAUAAUUCGUCCACAAUAAUACAAAUGCUCCCCGAACCCAUGACAAAAAAAGGCGGGCGGUGACCUUUCACCCAAGGCCUAGGAAGACGGUUGGAGGAGGGUAGGAUCCGGGCUGGAAUUAGGGAAGAGCUCUGUCGCAGAAUUGGCCUGGAUUUUAUUCCUGACAAAAGAAUUGGUCCGUCGGUGAAUUGUUCUGGCGGGCUCGCCAGAGGUAUUCGAAUUGCGCUGUGGAACCUCGGAAUUGGGCUGUGCUGGGCCUGAAUUGGCCUGUCCGGGUGUCGAAUUGGCCUGACAGGGUGUCGAAUUAGCUUUGCAGGGUAUCGAGAUAGCCUUGCAUGGUAUCGAAUUGACCUGUUCGGGGUGUCAAAUUGGCCUUGCAGGGUAUCGAAUUAGCGUGUUCAGGGUGUCGAAUUGGCUGUCAAGUUGGCAGGAUUGGCUCGAGCUGGCAUCCAAAAGCACAUGACUUUUAAGGAAUUUACAGAAAACUUUGCAAGGGGACCGCUUACAAGUGCCUCAUGUGUGUAUUGGUUUCGAUCCCAGGACAUGGAGCAGGAAAACUUGCACAUCUGCUUACCGUGCUCUGGCACUACUACUACUACCACUACCGGAGGCAAGCACUCAGGGCAAUACUCACUGCAAUACCCAGUCAAGUCAGUUGCCGAGGCCCUACUGUUUUCCUACCAUACUUCAUCGGCAGUCUUUCCAGUUUAUCCCACAAUACUCGUAUGCAUGAAUAGGUUCGGGUGGAAACAAUGGCAAAUCUCCGAUACACCACUAAACUCAGUUCCAUGAGCUACAAUGAAAACAAAUGAAAAUGCAGAUGUCUGUCGAGAAGAAUGUGUGCUCCAUAUGCAUUCUGUGCCUUAAUCCAUCGAGCUCUCCGUUGGGUGGGGCAUGGCCCAUGAAGUUGCCCCUGGUAUUCCGCCCAUGCAACCAAACACUGACACAAAACGAGAGGCCUUUUCAGCGGCCAGCUAAUCGAGAGGCCUUUUCAGCGGCCAGCUACUACACCCAACCCCUCUGCUUGAAACCAUAUGGCCUCUUCACCAAACUCGCUUUCGCUGACAUCCAUCCCAAUGGCAUACUCCAGGCCGGUUCCGGCCCGGUUCCGACCUAACGGGUCCAGUUAACGAGAUGGGUAACCGGUCGGUAGGAUUACCGGGCGAACCGUUAUCCGUUAACCGUCCCCAGUAAUCGGUAACCGAUGUCGGUAACCUGGCAUGAGGAAAAAUGCAUUUCUGAUUGCAACCAGUUUCUUUGUGACAAUGCCCAUUGUCACAAGGUUCAUGCCCACGUGUCACACCCCAACAAGCUUGAGGAGGUUAAGGCAAUGUGAAUGCCGGGUGACAGGGGUGACAGUCUUGUGCAGGCACAUUUGGAGACUAGUUUACACUGAGAUUGGGGUGACGUUGGAUUAGAAUACUUGCAGUUCAUGAAAUUGAGGAAAUGUGUUGCAUAGGCAUAUCCAAACGUUUCAGAGGGACGUUGUUUCGCCCGUAACAAACUUGUUACGGGCGAAACAAACUGGAUUUCCACAGUCCCGCCACUCAAAGAGCUCCCCACACCAUCGCAAAGUCCCUUUUUUAUUACAGACACAUGUAACAAGUUGUCAUAGCUUGAGAUUGUCGAUAUAUGACUGCUGGAUUGUGACCAGGCCAUCUCCUUACAUGUCUUGCUGCACCAGCAUGAGCAGUGAUCCCUUCUGUUCAAAAUUUUCAGGCAACAUCGCAAUGAGGCAAAACAUUGUGCCGAAUCUGCCGUACAAAGAGUGUUCAAAGCUUCACGCUACUAACGGACGAAUACAUAAGCAUUCAUUUACCUUGAAAGAAUAAAGGAAUUCUAUAGCUUCAUACAAAUUCGCCUAUCAGCAACUCUCCCUGGUCGUUCAAAAGUUGCUUGAAGAUUCUACCAUCUCCAUACUAUGAAGGAGCGCUUCUUCAUUUCUUCAUUUUAUCUGAACCUUAACGUAUCCUUCCAACACAAUGUCCAUGGACAACGGUAAUGAGGUCGGCGCCUACGAGUUUGACCGGAACGCCCUGGACAACAUCGCCCGUCGGCGACAAGAUCGCCCACGCAAGAAAUACAGCCAGCAUCGUCCAGUGGAUGAGUUUGGAGUACAUAAGCUUGCCAGGGCAAACAAUCUAAGUCAAUUUACCGCGUGCCAAUUGGAGGAUGCCUUGUCCAAGGAAAGGUGCCAUAUGGACGACCUUGUGUUAGUUUAGUUGUUGCAUGUAAGCUUGUGAGUUGGUGGNNN